rnacentral:rRNA from 1 species
CAGCCGUAAACAAUGUGCGUUAGGUGUGUCGGUAACCACGCGUUACUGAUGCGCCGAAGAGAAAUCGUGAAACGCACCACCUGGGAAGUACGGUCGCAAGGCUGAAACUUAAAGGAAUUGGCGGGGGAGCACCACAACAGGUGGAGCCUGCGGUUUAAUUGGAUUCAACACCGGACAUCUCACCGGAUAAGACAGCUGAAUGAUUGUCAAUCUGAAGGUUUUACAUGACUAGCUGAGAGGAGGUGCAUGGCGUCAGUGACU